rnacentral:lncRNA from 10 species
GGUGACUACACAUUUUUUUUUAACAACAACAACAACAAAAUUACCUCCUAUUAAGAAUAACCACAAAAUCAUCAAACUGGAUUCUUUCAACAUGUAUUUAUUGAGCACACAGUGUCCAAUCUGUGUGUGGACGUACAUGGUUUGAGUUCUCAUUAUCUACAAACUUGCUUGAAACAACUGGGCAGCUGAUGGUUAUGUGAAUGUAUACUUGCUUCAUAUAUUCACUGUUUAAGCCUCGAUAAUAUUAGACCUCUCUUGUAAUUUCUUAGAAGAAUUCAUUCACAAAUGAUCAUUGCUAAUAAAAAUUCCUUUUAAGCCGUAUUUAAUUGGAUGACACUUAGCUUGAACACCUAACAGCGAAUUAUAUAUAACCCCAUUUGUGAUCUUCUCCAUGCACAACUCUUUGAUCCCCCAUUUACAUCAGGUACCUAACUGUAUAAAACUAUCCAUGACACUCUAGGGCACUGCUUUACCUGUAUUUUGCAUGGGCAUUUUCUGUGAUUGGCUGAAUAAUCUUUGAAGGCAGUUUUUAGCAUACUAGCUGCAGAACAGACAAUAGGAGCUUAAUAAAUACAUACUGAAAGAACCCAGUUUGAUGAUUUUGUGGUUAUUCUUAAUAGGAGGUAAUUUUUUUUGGUUAAAAAAAUGUGUAGUGACCUGUUUCAUUAACAUUAGUUGUAGUUUCCCAUGGCUGCUGUAACAAAGUAUCACAAACUGUGUGGUUCAAAGUAAUAGUAAUUUAUUGUCUUCCUGAUCUGGAAGCUAGAAGUCCAAAAUCAAGUUGUUCUCAGGACCAUGCUGCUCCUGAAACUUGUGGGUUUGCCUCCUCCUAGCUUUUGAUAGAUUGCUGGCAGUCCUUGGCAUUCAUGAGCUUGCAGCUGCAUAACUCCAAUCUCUGCCUUUGCCACCAUGGCAUUCUCCUUGUGUGUGUCUGUCUUCACGUGGCCGUCUUCUUAUAUUGACGCCAAUCACAUUGGAUUAGAGGCCCAGUCUACUCCAGUUAUGACCUUGUUUUAACUUGACUGAUCACAUCUGCAAUGACCCUAGCUCCAAAUAAGGUCAUGUUCUGAGGUACUGGUAUUCUGAAGUACUUUCAUGUAUCUAUUUUUGAGAACCAAUUCAACCUAUAACACUGACUUAUAUAAUUCACUUUUGAACUAGAAUGACAAACUAUUGGCACCUAGUGGGUGCCACAAAAUGAUAUUCCUUUCCUUCCUUCUUCAUGCUGGGUUAUAAUUACAGUGACUAUUCAUGACUGAUUUCUGUCUGUCCCAGUGCCUUUAUGCUUGUCAGAAGGUGUGCACGCAAUGUGGUGAAAAUUGGGUCACCCAUUUACCUGUUGAUCCUCAUCAACUGGCAGGUGGUUUCUGAGGACCUGGGCUUUUUAAUGCUAUUCGGUGAUUUUUCUUAGAGAACCAUCGGUCUGCCCCUCAUGCAGUAUGUAGCCACUGCUGGUUUCUUUCUUUGUCAUUUUGUACAGUCUUGCUGCACUCCCUCCUACACCACAAUAUGCUUUUGUGCAAGGAGCCAGCUCAUUUCAGGGAGAGGAGAGGCGUCCAGCUGCCCAUGGACCCCACCAACACCAGCUCUGACAUAGGAGGGGAAACAGCCCCGAGAGGUGCAAAGUAUUCUAAGUUAUGGAUGUUCAUAGAAGGGUAGUUUGUUUUAUUUGUAAUUCUUUACUUUUGGCUGUGCUUACCUCCUGCCAGAUUUCUAACUCCCUUAACAUUUAAGAUUGCCAAAUCAGGCCAUCUGUAAACAUGAAAAGUUGUAAAACUGGGGUCUUUCACCAAAGUGAUAGUUUUAAUAUUCUGAACAGAAGAAAAACUAAUAUUUUAGUUCUGAAAGUCCCAAAUAAUAUAGUUUGGAGUGGGUAUAGCCUCUCUGUUCUCCAUCCUCUGCAUUUCUCAGGGUUUUCUGAAUGUGGGUGGAUCUUGGUUUGAUGGCCAUCUUUUUCUUCCUCUCUGUCGAGAAUGUGCCUUGGCAAGCAUUGGAGAAGCCCAGCACAGCUUUUGUGAGCCAGAAAGGUUAAAACUGAGCUGACAGGACAGCCCCAGCUCUCUGCUGUUGUCCUGGAAGCUGGGAAGUCCUGGAUCAAGACACCAAUAGAUUUGGUACCUGGUGAGAGCUCUCUUUUCAGUUUGUAGAUGGCCAUCUUCUUGCUGUGGCAAGGGACAAAGGGUUCUCUCUGGGGUCUCUUUUAUCAAAGCAUAAAUCGCAUUCAUGAAGGCUGAUGUGGUUUGGCUGUGUACCCACCCAAAUCUCAUCUUGAAUUGUAGUUCCCAUAAUCCCCAUGUGUUGUGGGAGGGACCUGAUGUGAGGUAAUUGAAUCAUGGGGUGGUUACCUCCAUGCUGUUCUCAUGUUAGUGUCUUGUCAUGAGAUCUGAUGGUUUUAUAAGGGGCUUUCCCCUUUUGCUCAGCACUUCUCCUUGUUGCUGCAAUGUGAAGAAGGGCAUGUUUUCUUCCCCUUCUGCCAUGAUUGUAAGUUUCCUGAGGCCCCCCUAGCCCUGUGCAAUUGUGG